rnacentral:rRNA from 1 species
AGUGAACGCUGGCGGUAGGCCUAACACAUGCAAGUCGAACGGCAGCACAGUAAGAGCUUGCUCUUACGGGUGGCGAGUGGCGGACGGGUGAGGAAUACAUCGGAAUCUACUUUUUCGCGGGGGAUAACGUGGGGAAACUUACGCUAAUACCGCAUACGACCUACGGGUGAAAGCAGGGGAUCUUCGGACCUUGCGCGAUUGAAUGAGCCGAUGUCGGAUUAGCUAGUUGGCGGGGUAAAGGCCCACCAAGGCGACGAUCCGUAGCUGGUCUGAGAGGAUGAUCAGCCACACUGGAACUGAGACACGGUCCAGACUCCUACGGGAGGCAGCAGUGGGGAAUAUUGGACAAUGGGCGCAAGCCUGAUCCAGCCAUACCGCGUGGGUGAAGAAGGCCUUCGGGUUGUAAAGCCCUUUUGUUGGGAAAGAAAAGCAGCAGGUUAAUACCCCGCUGUUCUGACGGUACCCAAAGAAUAAGCACCGGCUAACUUCGUG